GCACUUCGUUUUAACUAAACCCUUUCCUUUCUUAUGUACGCACUUCUUCGAAACCUAAAACUAAAACAUAUCUAAAGCAGCAUAACGAAUGAAGCAUUUUGUACUUGAAUGGUCAGUUGCAUUUCUUGGGUUUACUUGAUCACGAACUGCAUAUAAUUCAGUUCAAUUAUAAUUUAUUUAAUAUACGUUUUAAACAUGGGUUGCAUGGACAUGCCUAAGAGACCAGUAAUUAAGACGGCAGGAACUAUGUCCCACCUUAUAGCAAGCGCUGGAAGAUUCCUGACGACGCGAGCAGAAGUUAAGGUCAGAGCACUAGAGAUAAAGUUGUUGGCGGCUAUACAAAUAAGAGCAGAAACGGACAAGUCUAUUUUUUAAAUCACAAAUCCUGAGAACUAUGACAGUACGUCGACAGAAAGGAAAGUCCUGGAGAAAUUUAACCAAGCCACAGAGGGAAAGGUUAAUGAGGUGUCAUCGAAUGCUGAUGAUGAUUCCGAUGACGUAGUUAAAGAAGAUUCGCAAGAUGAUAAUUCGGACCUCGAACUUACUCUGAAGGCAUUGGAAGCCGCCCGACAUGAGGAUGAAAGGAAGGUGGCUUCCUUACAAGCCAAAUUAACCCAAGCAAGAAAUGCAUUGGAGGCUUUGAAAAUAGAAAUGAGGUCCACUCCGGGAGCAGGUGGUUAAAGUGGUAGUCAUGCCGGGACAUGAGGAGGCGGUGGUGGAGGAAGGGUCGAACCCAGAGGGGGUGGCGAGAGACGAAGAAGAUCUGGUAUCCUACCAUCGUUAACAUUACUACACGGUCAAUUUCGGACUUAUCAUUAUUUAUUUAUGCAUGUCUUAUAGUUUAAAAGUUCCUUAUUUACUGAAAGUUAUCAGGGAAUACAUAAGCAAUAUCCUUGCCAUACGCAACUGGUC